AUUUGUUGCGGGUUAUUCCUUAUGACGAUUGUUUAUAUCUCGCGGGUUAGCGUUUUAUUGAAUAAAGCACAGAUUAGAUUUUAGAUUACUUUUUCAGUCUACCACGGGUCACGGGCUGUGCCGCGGCAAGCCUGACAGGCCAGUGGCAUGCCCGGGAAUUUUCAACGAUAGCGGACGUAGCGAUUGAGAAUCGCGAAUAAAUCGUUAAGUCGUCUUCGCUACCCGACUAGACCAAAAAAUGCCAAUUUCUAAUUAAUACAUCAAACUAUUCUUCGCGUAACUUGUUAGAAAUUGAUUGGCAUUUUGAUAUUAGACGACUAAUAUUUGUUUGUAUUUUCAAGCCAAUGGUGGAGAGGAAUACAACCCCCGACCUCCCCUAUUCUACGCGAGCCACUAUCUGGCACACCCUGUUCGCAUGAAUUACGUAUACGCGCUUAAAAAAAAUUCUUUACCGACGACGGAUAAAUACACAUUUUUCGGGGGUAAUUUUUUUAUUGUAUUUUCGACGUAAUAGUGUAUUAUAAAAUUACGUGUUCCGGCGCAGUCCGAUACAAUAUUAUGUAAACGUUUUCCUUUUUAAUCCGAAAAGUCCAUAAUGAACAAAGAAAAAAGCAAGAGGUCUCACGGUCGCGAAAUGUGUUCGCGCGUAAAUAUUUAAACUGCUGCAGAUAACCGUUGUACUCUGUCAUCACAAUAAUAAUAUUAUACUGGAUUUCGACCGUCGGUCGAAAAAUAUUUGAUUUCAAUUUAUAACGCUCAAAGUACGAAAAACAACAAAAUAGUCGCACAACGUCAACGUUGAUAACGCUGUAGGCUUAAAUAAUUUUUACGUUAAAUAAUUACGUUUUUUAGCUAAUUGUUUAGAUAAUCAUUUUCUGAGAGGCUUCUGGGAUCUGUCGUAAUUCGUGCAAAGACCGGAACAUUUUCACCGCGAACGCAUAUUUUUCCAAAAUGCCGCGCUUAGUAGUUUCCGAA